rnacentral:rRNA from 1 species
AGAGUUUGAUCCUGGCUCAGGAUGAACGCUGGCGGCGUGCUUAACACAUGCAAGUCGAACGGAGUUAUUUUUAAAGCUUGCUUUUUUAAUAACUUAGUGGCGGACGGGUGAGUAACGCGUGGGUAACCUGCCGUAUACAGGGGGAUAGCACUUAGAAAUAGGUGCUAAUACCGCAUAAGCGCACAGGAUCGCAUGGUCCGGUGUGAAAAACUCCGGUGGUAUACGAUGGACCCGCGUCUGAUUAGAUAGUUGGUGAGGUAACGGCCCACCAAGUCAACGAUCAGUAGCCGGUCUGAGAGGAUGAACGGCCACAUUGGGACUGAGAUACGGCCCAGACUCCUACGGGAGGCAGCAGUGGGGAAUAUUGGGCAAUGGGGGAAACCCUGACCCAGCAACGCCGCGUGAAGGAAGAAGGCCUUCGGGUUGUAAACUUCUUUUACCAGGGACGAAGAAGAUGACGGUACCUGGAGAAAAAGCAACGGCUAACUACGUGCCAGCAGCCGCGGUAAUACGUAGGUUGCAAGCGUUGUCCGGAUUUACUGGGUGUAAAGGGCGUGUAGGCGGAGAUGCAAGUUGGGAGUGAAAUCCCGGGGCUUAACCCCGGAACUGCUUUCAAAACUGUAACCCUUGAGUAUCGGAGAGGCAAGCGGAAUUCCUAGUGUAGCGGUGAAAUGCGUAGAUAUUAGGAGGAACACCAGUGGCGAAGGCGGCUUGCUGGACGACAACUGACGCUGAGGCGCGAAAGCGUGGGGAGCAAACAGGAUUAGAUACCCUGGUAGUCCACGCUGUAAACGAUGAAUACU